rnacentral:lncRNA from 1 species
AGGAAUUCGGAACCUGCAUCUUUAAUAUGACAUGGUAUAUUUAUUCUUAAUCUCUCCAUUACGUUUUGUGUUCCAUUUUUCUCGAUGGAAGUAAUUGUGGUUUAAUUUCACAUGGUUUUUAAACAAAUAAACACAUGAUGUGCUGAAUAGCUGACAUGCAGAGGAAAUGGUACAGCUUGAUGACUAUUUUACUACUAAAUUAUUCUCAGGUAUUUAUUGUUCCUUUUGUGAUAGUUUUCUCUCUCCUAAAAAUGAAAUGAAUCAUUUUUAAUUCUUUGAACAAGUUUGCCUAAAGUAGGGCGCUCAGCCAUUGAGGCAUUAUCAAUUUCUUUUAGAAGCUUCGCAAAAUCUGCUCUUGUACUAAAGAAAUCUAAUGUAGAUUUGUUAGCCUUAUAGGGUACUAUAUGGUGAACACAUGAUAUUAAAUAUACAGUAAAUUGCACUGUGAAGUGAGUAUGUAUAUACUAUCCACACAGGAUUGCCAUUUUGGAGAUGUUGCUGGGAUCAUCAUGGAUUGGGAUGCAUUCUGAUAAUUAGAUAUUAGGUAUUGAUAUGUGAUAUGUAUGUCACACUUGACUUCAUCAUCCUUUGUUUUUAGAUGUAUUCUUUAGGCAUACAUUAAUGUGGUAGCUUGGUCAUAUUCUGUAGCUAAUUUAGUCACCAAAUACUCGGAUUUUUUCCCGACUCCCAUUAUAAAGAACUUCCACUUGCCAUCUCUAUAUGGAUUUUCUUUUUGCUACCGAUUUUGGCUAAAGGUUUUUCGGCUCUCAUCUCUAUAUGGAUAUGCUUUUCUCAGGUUAGUAGUUUAGGAGUUCCUGCCAACACUGGUUUUUGGAAGUUAUACUCCCUUCACCAGUUGGGCUUAACAAGGACAUAAUUAAUUCUCUGUUGGUAAUUAGAAGGAAAAAAAUCUGGUUGGAGAAAACUUCUCUUUUGCUUAAUUGUUUGCUUCAUAAUUUUAGUAAUCUUUUUUUCUUUUUUUUUCAGGUUAGUAGUAUGGGAGUACCUGUCAAGACUGCCUUUUGGAAGUUAUGCUAGCCUCAUCAGUUGGGCUUUCUAUACAAAACUAGACUCAAUAUAAUUUAUUUUGGUGCUUGCGAUGAGUAUUAGACAGAGGGGUGAUGACCACAUAGUUCACCCAGUGUAUCUGUUCAUGUAUGUCAUUAAUUAUCUAAUUAGACAAAAAAACUCUCUCUGUAUGGUGUUUGUGAUGAUGCUGUCAAUUCACUAAACACUAAAAUACCAGGUUGUGAUUUUCAAAUCUAGCAAAUUAAUUUUCUCUAUUGCUUCUUUUCCAGGCAGAAGUUUUAGUCUAUUCUGUUCCAUGAGUCUUACUGUCAAAAAAAAUAUAUGGUAGCAUCAGAAGUUGUCCCCAUCAGAUAGAACACUGCCUAAUAGAUUCAUUCUAUUACUGUAUAGCCAUGGUGACAAAAAUAUUCAGAUAACAAGAAACAAUUUUGUCAAAUAUUGUCAGCGGAGAUACUGUUGCGGUCUAUAAGAAAAAAAUGUUAAUUAUUUAAUUAAACAGAAAACUAUGUUAUUUAUACCAACAAAUGCUAAACAAUCAGACUACCUGACACAAAAGUAUAUAUAUACAUUAGUUAAAUUUCAUUCCAAAAAUAGAUGAUGUAGUGGUAGAUGUUAAUCGUACAAGAACAUGAGGAUGACAAACAUAAAUUAAUCACAUAUAUUAUCAUCAUAGGUCGAUCUAACUGGUGGUAGUUAUUCUUUGCACUGAAAACAAAGUGGAAUCAAACGAUUCAAGCAACCAAAAAGAAGGAAACAAAGGAUGCUUAUGGAUCUGAAUGAGUUAGGGCGCUCCACUACUUGCAAGUAGAUCCAGUGACUCAGUGGCAGAGCUACUCUCGGCGACGCCAGGAAGCCACCCUGGUUCUACCCAGAAGUCAUCACUGAAAUUACAACAAGAAAUAUGAAGUAAUUAGUAUUUUUUUCCAUGGACAUAUGACCGCCGGCCAGUUGCCUUUGUGCUCAUGCCGGUGCUGUACCAAUGAAUUGACUCCAUCACUGUAGCGACCUGGAAGAACAUCAACUGUUUGUGGAGUUGGGAAUUUCUUCUCCGAGGAGAGAAAUGUUUAGUACGUCUCCAAAUCACUCCACUGUCCCGCCGGACAAAGAUGAGUUUAAUAUGGCCCGUCGACACGGAGAAGGCCUGCUAUCACAUACCGCUUAUUGGGCUGUAACAUUAGUCUCAUUCCAACGUCACAUAUCCAACAAAGAAGCUUAUACCAAAGAGAAAGCUACAAAUUGGAUGAUUGAUCCCUAUGAAAUUGAUGUUACACAUAUUUUAUUUCAAAAAGGGGAUUACCCGGGCCUCUGCAUCAAAUGAUGCACACAUUCAUAUUAUUAAACAUAAAUCAAGUUCCAAACACGGAGUUCCAGACUUAUUUCAUCAAGUAGUUUUCUUGUAUUUGAACUCAAUUCCUUCAAUUUCUCUAAGCCGUGAGCUUAUAUCAGCGGUGAGCUCAUCUACAUUAUGGGUUGUGAACUCAUUUAGUUUUAUCUAUGAACUCAUUAGGUGAACUCAUCACGGUUUUUUGGCAGAUGUGAACUUAUUUCAUAUUCAUCUAUGAAUCAUUGUUGAAGUGUCUGUAUAUCUCUCCCAUGCCAAUGUACAGAAAUUUGAGGUCUACAUACUUUUGC